rnacentral:rRNA from 1 species
UACGAAGGGGGCUAGCGUUGUUCGGAAUUACUGGGCGUAAAGCGCGCGUAGGCGGUGAUCCAUGUCAGGGGUGAAAUCCCGGGGCUUAACUCCGGAAUUGCCUUUGAAACGGGAUCGCUAGAGUCCGAGAGAGGAUGGCGGAAUUCCUAGUGUAGAGGUGAAAUUCGUAGAUAUUAGGAAGAACACCGGUGGCGAAGGCGGCCAUCUGGCUCGGUACUGACGCUCAGGCGCGAAAGCGUGGGGAGCAAACAGG